UACAGAGGUCUCGAGCGUUGUUCGGAUUCAUUGGGCGUAAAGGGCGCGUAGGCGGCGGGGUAAGUCUGGUGUGAAAUCUCGGAGCUCAACUCCGAAAUUGCACUGGAUACUGCUCUGCUAGAGGGCUGGAGAGGAGAUCGGAAUUCACGGUGUAGCAGUGAAAUGCGUAGAUAUCGUGAGGAAGACCAGUGGCGAAGGCGGGUCUCUGGACAGUUCCUGACGCUGAGGCACGAAGGUCAGGGGAGCAAACGGG
rnacentral:rRNA from 1 species